rnacentral:rRNA from 1 species
UUAACACGUGGGAACGUGCCUUUAGGUUCGGAAUAACUCAGGGAAACUUGUGCUAAUACCGAAUGUGCCCUUCGGGGGUUAGAUUUAUCGCCUUUAGAGCGGCCCGCGUCUGAUUAGCUAGUUGGUGAGGUAAAGGCUCACCAAGGUGACGAUCAGUAGCUGGUCUGAGAGGAUGAUCAGCCACAUUGGGACUGAGACACGGCCCAAACUCCUACGGGAGGCAGCAGUGGGGAAUCUUGCGCAAUGGGCGUAAGCCUGACGCAGCCAUGCCGCGUGAAUGAUGAAGGUUCUUAGGAUUGU